AGAGUUUGAUCCUGGCUCAGGACGAACGCUGGCGGCACGCUUAACACAUGCAAGUCGAACGAGAGAAGAGGAGCUUGCUUUUCUGAUCUAGUGGCGGACGGGUGAGUAACACGUGAGCAAUCUGCCUUUCAGAGGGGGAUACCGAUUGGAAACGAUCGUUAAUACCGCAUAACAUAAUUGAACCGCAUGAUUUGAUUAUCAAAGAUUUAUCGCUGAAAGAUGAGCUCGCGUCUGAUUAGCUAGUUGGUAAGGUAACGGCUUACCAAGGCGACGAUCAGUAGCCGGACUGAGAGGUUGAUCGGCCACAUUGGGACUGAGACACGGCCCAGACUCCUACGGGGGGCAGCAGUGGGGAAUAUUGCACAAUGGAGGAAACUCUGAUGCAGCGAUGCCGCGUGAGGGAAGAAGGUUUUAGGAUUGUAAACCUCUGUCUUCAGGGACGAAAAAAGACGGUACCUGAGGAGGAAGCUCCGGCUAACUACGUGCCAGCAGCCGCGGUAAUACGUAGGGAGCGAGCGUUGUCCGGAAUUACUGGGUGUAAAGGGAGCGUAGGCGGGAUCGCAAGUCAGAUGUGAAAACUAUGGGCUUAACCCAUAAACUGCAUUUGAAACUGUGGUUCUUGAGUGAAGUAGAGGUAAGCGGAAUUCCUAGUGUAGCGGUGAAAUGCGUAGAUAUUAGGAGGAACAUCAGUGGCGAAGGCGGCUUACUGGGCUUUAACUGACGCUGAGGCUCGAAAGCGUGGGGAGCAAACAGGAUUAGAUACCCUGGUAGUCCACGCCGUAAACGAUGAUUACUAGGUGUGGGGGGACUGACCCCUUCCGUGCCGCAGCAAACGCAAUAAGUAACCCACCUGGGGAGUACGACCGCAAGGUUGAAACUCAAAGGAAUUGACGGGGGCCCGCACAAGCAGUGGAGUAUGUGGAUUAAUUCGAAGCAACGCGAAGAACCUUACCAGGUCUUGACAUCGUAUGCAUAGCUCAGAGAUGAGUGAAAUCUCUUCGGAGACAUAUAGACAGGUGGUGCAUGGUUGUCGUCAGCUCGUGUCGUGAGAUGUUGGGUUAAGUCCCGCAACGAGCGCAACCCUUACUGUUAGUUGCUACGCAAGAGCACUCUAGCAGGACUGCCGUUGACAAAACGGAGGAAGGUGGGGAUGACGUCAAAUCAUCAUGCCCCUUAUGACCUGGGCCUCACACGUACUACAAUGGCUGUCAACAGAGGGAAGCAAAGCCGCGAGGUGGAGCGAACCCCUAAAAGCAGUCUUAGUUCGGAUUGUAGGCUGCAACCCGCCUACAUGAAGUCGGAAUUGCUAGUAAUCGCAGAUCAGCAUGCUGCGGUGAAUACGUUCCCGGGCCUUGUACACACCGCCCGUCACGCCAUGGGAGUCGGUAACACCCGAAGCCUGUAGUCUAACCGCAAGGAGGACGCAGUCGAAGGUGGGAUUGAUGACUGGGGUGAAGUCGUAACAAGGUA
rnacentral:rRNA from 1 species